rnacentral:rRNA from 1 species
GACGAACGCUGGCGGCGUGCCUAAUACAUGCAAGUCGAACGAACCGCGACUAAGUGCUUGCACUAAGUCAAGGUGAGUGGCGAACGGGUGAGUAACACGUGGGUAACCUACCUCAUAGUGGGGGAUAACAGUCGGAAACGACUGCUAAUACCGCAUAGGACAUAGGAUCACAUGAUCCAGUGAGGAAAGGUGUCGCAAGCUAUCGCUAAGAGAUGGACCCGCGGUGCAUUAGCUAGUUGGUAGGGUAAAGGCCUACCAAGGCGAUGAUGCAUAGCCGACCUGAGAGGGUGAUCGGCCACAUUGGGACUGAGACACGGCCCAAACUCCUACGGGAGGCAGCAGUAGGGAAUCUUCCGCAAUGGACGCAAGUCUGACGGAGCAACGCCGCGUGAGUGAAGAAGGUCUUCGGAUCGUAAAGCUCUGUUGUUAGAGAAGAACAGCGCAUAGAGUAACUGCUAUGCGUGUGACGGUACCUAACCAGAAAGCCACGGCUAACUACGUG